GUCCUUUUGAGUUUAAUUURAGGUCUAACCUGCCCACUGAAAUUUUUAAUGGCCGCAGUAAUUUGACUGUGCAAAGGUAGCAUAAUAAUUAGUUUUUUAAUUAAAAGCUUGUAUGAAGGGUUGGACGAAAUAAAAUCUGUCUCUAUUUAAUUAAAUUUAGAAUUUAACUUUUAAGUUAAAAGGCUUAAAUAUUAUUAAAAGACGAGAAGACCCUAUAGAUCUUUAUAUUUUUUUUUAUAAUUUUAAUUAGGAAUUAUUAAUUUUUUAUUAAAAAAAGUAUUUUAUUGGGGUAAUAUAAAGAUUUAAAAAAUUCUUUUUUUAUAUAAACAUAUAUUUAUGAUAUUAAUGAUCCAAUUUUAUUGAUUAUAAGAUUAAGUUACCUUAGGGAUAACAGCGUAAUUUUUUUUGAGAGUUCUUAUCGAUAAAAAAGUUUGCGACCUCGAUGUUGGAUUAAAGAUUAUUUUAGGUGUAGAAGCUUGAAAAUUUUGGUCUGUUCGACCAUUAAAUCUUUACAUGAUCUGAGUUCAGACCGGCGUAAGCCAGGUCGGUUUCUAUCUUUAAUAAAUUAAAAUAUUUUAGUACGAAAGGACCAAUUAUUUAAUAUAUUUAUAUUUAAUUUUUGAAUAUUAUUAA
rnacentral:rRNA from 1 species